rnacentral:rRNA from 1 species
CCUGGCGGCCGUAGCGCGGUGGUCCCACCUGACCCCAUGCCGAACUCAGAAGUGAAACGCCGUAGCGCCGAUGGUAGUGUGGGGUCUCCCCAUGCGAGAGUAGGGCACUGCCAGGC